UACCUUUUUAUAUUAUAUUUUCUGCAAAAACAAGAUAUAACACAAGAGUAUCAAAAAAAAUUCUUAUAUGUCUGUCACAAAUUUUAUGCUCUAACUUCAAUAGACUGUUUUACAAACUUAGAGACCUCAAACGCAAAAACUCACACCACGAAAGUUGCAGGUCUUCUUUUUCUUUCUUUUAGAUAUAUGGAUCACCUAUUUUGGAUAAAUGAAUUGGGAGAUAUUGAUCCCGAAAUACAGACUAGUCCGAAAUUUUAGGAUCACAAACAGAUAUUUACUUCCAAUACAGAUAACUUCUUGAUACUGACAUUUUCUGAAAAUAUCAUAAAUAAGAAAAUUGUAGAUAAUUUGGAUAAUUUUCUAAGCUUUCUAGAAAGUACAAGAACACUAAAUUCUGAGUCUAUUUGCGAGAUUUAUACUCAAAAUACAAACUGGACAGAAAUUAAUCUGAUAAAGACGAGAUAAUGAGAUGAAAAACAAUGGGAUCUGUUUUAGAGAUUGAAUUUGUGGGAUGGUAGUAGACGAAAAAGAUCAAACGGAGCCAAAAACAAAUCUAAACCAGCAACAAGACCUUGACCUAGGACCUAAGCUCAAUGCGGCGGAAUCGAAAACCAAUUUGUGCAAAGGCUAAGACGAAGUCUGUAGGUCAGUACACACUAAUGGUUUUUAAAGUUAUGAUAGAAUGUUUGGUUAUUUUUUGGUCUUUUGUGGGUUAUAGGAUGAACAAAACAAAUUUAAAGGUAAGAUUAUACCUCACUGAUGAUCGGGUCCACGCGACAAAGAGACAGGGGAGAUGGGGCCUGCCUGUCAGCCCGAGAGAGAGGGGGACACAGUAGCGGUAUGCUGGGCUAUCUCUAUCUGGACCGAAAUAGGCCAAUGGCCGGCUUAGGGGAGGGAUAUUUUUUCUUUUUCU
rnacentral:lncRNA from 7 species